CUUCAAACAUAGCGAAGACACAGGAUCGGGAGCAGUGAAGCUUGCGGAAAAGUCAUUAAAAGCACUGUUGAGAGAAACGGGGAUUACCUUGUGAAGCGUGAUUUGUGACUCGCUGGAAAAAAGCAUGUCGGGUGAUGUUUUGUGUCGACGCAAGUUGUGAACCAUAAGCGAACAACCCCCAAAAAUCUGAACUUUAAGCCUCUGUCCAUGAGACUCAAGGUAAAUAUGAACAAUGCAUCGUUACGCAGAUUAUUGGGCAAGAGUAACAAGGACCCACAACUCCAACUGCCACAACUACAACAAGGACCCGCAACUACAACUGCUUCCGAGAUAAAGGUUCCAAGGACAAGAGAGAUGGCAUUCAGUAGAUGUGCCUGCACGUUUUCCUUGCCUUCUGGUUUCCAUGUCAUCCAUGUCUACCUUCCUUAUCACUUGCUCAAGUCUUCUCACUUUAUUCACCGGAUGGCAAACAUAUUGAUGCAACAGCUUGCCGAUGAAACACCAGAGAAACGAUUUCAGAGCUGUAUCGAGGAUUAA
rnacentral:lncRNA from 1 species